rnacentral:misc_RNA from 1 species
CGUGCUCUUUGCACAAAAUCUGCUUUCGGAUUGCAAGUCAAAUGCUUCCACUGGCUUUCGUCUAAACAAACAAAUAAAUAUUGAAUAUUGAUGUGGCACGUACCGUGAAGCCGAUGCCAACAGUUGCUGCGAAGUUUCCUGGUUGAAAUCUUCCGGUAUCGAACUGGACCAGCAGAGAUGUCUUACCAACACCGCUGUCGCCCAGGAGAAUUGUCUGCGAUCAAAAAAAGAAAGAGAAGUCGCUGCUCCUCAUACUAUCGUAAUCUCUGGACGAGUAGCCAUAGUUAUCGUCUAAUACUUCCGCUGGAGGCUUGUAGUCUCGAUAUCCGGUCGGCGAAGGGGUCAUGGUCAAAGGUUGGCCCAUAGACCUCGGUGUUAAACCGCUGGAAGCCGCCAUGGAGACAUCGUCUUCCACCUCGAACACGUCGUCGCUCAUGCUGUCGUCGCCCAUCAUGAUCUGCGGAUGAAACAUCGACCGGAAACGUGAAUACGCGAUGAGUUAUGGUACCAUUGAUAUAGUUCUUCUUUUUGGAGCGGUUCUUGUCUUUGAUUGAUAAUAAAAAUAUUCUGGCAAUGAUACAGAGAUAUCUGAUUUUUAAUAACAGAUUAUUAAUAAUUCAUCGUAGUAGUAAUUUUAUUGCAUGGUAGAAA